rnacentral:tRNA from 1 species
GCUCAAGUCGCUCAGCCUGGUAGAGCGCUGGUCUGCUAAACCGGUGUCAACCGACGCGUGGGUUCAAAUCCCACCUUGAGCG